UUCUUGGCACAGCAACCUCGACCACAGCUACACCACCCUACGCUCUCGGCUACCUUGAUAUCGGCACAAAAAGGGCUACCGCCUUGCUUGAGCAACCUCGUCCGUUUCCACUCCGGCCACAACUCCCGUGAUGCAUCGACCGUUACGACUAUGGGGGGAUGACCGUCGGCUUACCUUUGGAUUCUUCUGCAGUCUCACCACCUGCGUCGCUACCGUUGUGACUGCGGGGGAUGUUGAGUAUAUUGAUUAUUAGAAAAUAAAAGAUAGACUAGGGUUUGUUCUACCUUACCUUGUACUCCAAACUGAUCAUUGUACUCUUAUAUAUAUGUCCACGAGGCUCAAGCAAUACAACAACUAUUCCGUCAGUCCUUCGAUUCCCGUUCAACUGGAACUACUGGAGUUGUUGUAAGGGAAACUCUAACUCCAUGCGUUAAAUUAUACGCAUCAAAUGUCUGCAGACACCCCCUCAAAAGAAAAGUCUGCUCACACGUCAUCGUCGUUGUCGGAGAUCAGCGCACCUCCUUAACCAUGUGGACUGAUAGAGUGGCGGCCGCUCGCGGGCAUGGAGACAGUGGCCGGUGGCGCCGCAAUUCGAAUGACCCCAGGAUCCUCCUGCAAGCCCUAAGAACUCACGAUGGACACGGUCCGGGCCAGUCCGGUCCCGGUCCGAGCCGGCGUUUGGACCGGCCGCCGGCGGUCCGGUCCGGAUCGGACCGAGUAGGCUGGCGGUCCUCUUUUCAGGGACCGCACCGGCGAGGCAAAAGCCCGGGCCGGACCGGCGGACCGGCCAACAGCUCACCGGCGGCGAGGUGGUAGCCAUGACAUCGGCUAUCGAAGACUCUAGGCCGUAAUCGGAAGCGGAGACAGAGGGAAUAGGUGCGGGCACUCAUGUAGAGCUCGAUACUGAGGUCGGGGAGGCCGGAGAAGCAGUGACGACGAAGGAAUCGACGACGAACGGCGACGGCCGGAGCUGGAGAUGAAGCAAGAUCCCGACUGAUUCGUGGCGAAUCCCAUCGAUUUGUUAGGGGGGAGGAGAUCCGAUGCUUGCGAAGCUCCUGGACAUGGUCGUUCGUCCUGGAAAGGACAGUGGCCACGUCCGUGAGAUCUCGUGCUCUGGACGGCGGCGGCCACGGCACAACACGUCUACCCCGCCACGCCUGAGCCGCCACACCUCCAGCACGCCCCCGGCACUCCUGCAGCACGCCCCCGCCAUGCCUCUACCACAUCCCCGUCAUGCCUCGCCAUGCCCCCGCCCUGCACUCGCCAUGCUGCCAGUGAGCUGUUCGGUCCGCUCGGUCGGACCGAGCUUUAACCGGACCGGACUGAGCAAUUUUCGGGCCUGUUUUGAGGGGCCGGACCGGCCGGUUUUUACGGUCAGUCCUGGACCGAGCGGGCCAAGACCGAGUGGUCCAUGAGCAGGCCAAGAAGCCCCCUCGGUACGUCCAGGCUGACUAAGAACCAACUAAAGCCGUUGCUGUUCUUGCCCAUCUCUGCGGUAUGUGCAAGAUAGGAGAAGCGAGGCGGUGGUGCAUAGAAUGGAAGAUAGGAGAGGAGAGGUGGUCGCUUCAAUGCGGGUGCAGCAGCUGGAGUAGGUUUCUCCAUCGCUAUGUGCACUGUGCACACUGAAUCGGCGCAUGUCAGUUGUGCGACACACCUGUUUGAGCGGCAUCAAUGCGGUAGGGGGCGAGCGGCCUCUAUGUGCGGCCAGGCUUCUACAACGGCCCUGUUUGAUACUCUAACUUGAUUGGAGCUUAAAGUUAGAUUUUAAUUCUGGACUAAUCCUGAACUAACUCUAACUAAAUAAAAGUUUCGAUGGCAGCGAUAAAUGCCAAUAAAUGCACCCUUUUCAAUCAUUUGGCUCAAUCAGGAUUUGGUGCAAGCGGCCUCAAUGUGCGGCCAGGCUUCCACAACGUAAGACUACUGAUAAUAAGGAGUAACAUAGAAUAGUAAUAUACAUAUGUUACUAGUCUAAGUUACUACCUCCACAGUGGAUAGUAACAUCGGGGUAGCAUUGAACCUUUUAUUUAUUAGCCUAUAGACUCAUCUUGCCUUGGUAUCCGCUAUGUUACUCCUAGUAUGAGUAACUUGCUAAGGCUGGUCACAAUGGGGAGGAACUUAGCAGUAACAUCACACACUCCAAUACAACUUUGCUUAUGUGGCACGUAUUUAGUGAAGAGAGAGGUGCUUGUGGUAACUAGCUAAGUUACCGGAACAUCACACACUCCAAGAAACAAUGAGUCUAUAGCCUAAUAAAUGCAUUGUUGCAUGACACUACAUACAUGUUACUCCCCAUUGUGGAGGUAGGGACAUAGUCUAGGAAAGCAUGUAGGUUCCUACCUUAUGUUACUCUCCAUUGUGACCAGCCUAAGAGGGUGAAAGGCUAAAGUUCCAAACACCCCUGACUAAAGAGAGACUAAAACUAGUCUAAAGACUAAAAUCUUUUAGUCACAGCAACCCCUACUAAAAUUUCUUUUAGUCCUCUCUCUCCUCGUUUAAACUCUCCUCGUUUUACUCUUUCCUUUAACACAGCCGGUUGCCUUCUCGAGCGGUCAAACAGCGGUGCGGCUACAGGCUCAUCUUUUCCUUUCCCCUACCUGGAGCGCUCCUCUUCCCUUCCUGCUCCUGGUGGCUGAGGAAGGAAGCAGCUGAUAGUCGUCCAUGGCCUCCGGCGGCCGCCUCCACCUCCGCUGAUAGCCGCCGGCUUGGCCCACAGCCCCACAGCCUCCCCUUCGCUGUUCUGUUGGUGGCUGAGGAACGAUUCAGGUGAGAGAGGAGUCCAAGAUGCAUCCGCCAUGGAAUACGGAAUUCGAAAGGUGUGACAGAGAUGAGAAUUAUCAACCUCUUCUUGAGGAAACAAGGAGGAGGCGUCGUAACAGGAGGGAUCUAGAAAUGGAGCCAGAUUCGGUCGACAUGAAUCAAUUGAGAGAUAGAAUUGCUGAUGGUUUGUUCCAGGGCCAUUGAGAUCAUUGUCAUGUUACUAACGUGGGGGAGGAGUUGGAGUUACGGACCACGGUCUUGGAGUUUCCUAGGUGGCACCUUAGAAAAGGUAGAAUAAUCCUACAACUCAUCAUGAAAUAAAAGAGCCUAAACAUGCCUGAAAUUCAAAACGAAGCUUGUACUCAUAUGCUCAUGCAUGUACAAAAUCCAAUAAAUGGUUUUAAGAAGUCUUUUUUUUUUGCAAUGACCAUUUUUGUUUCUUUCAUACAUGUGAAAUUUUUCAUGAGAACAGACUUGUGGCUGGUCUAGGAAAAAACGACCCUAAAGAUGAAAAUGGCCUUUUACAGCCGAGCUCAAAUGAGCUUUGGGUCAACAAUAAAUUCAAAAAUAUUGAAAAAAUCUGUUUUUUUUCAGAAAACAAUGAAAAGUGUUCUAAGACCUUGCAAAAUUUCAGUACGAAAUCAUAUUUGUAGAAGUCGUGGCAAAAUAAAAAGUUCUUUUUUGCCACGACUUCCACNNNNNNNNNNNNNNNNNNNNNNNNNNNNNNNNNNNNNNNNNNNNNNNNNNNNNNNNNNNNNNNNNNNNNNNNNNNNNNNNNNNNNNNNNNNNNNNNNNNNAAGCAUCUCCAACAGCCGCGCAAAAAGGCGAGCGGGAUAAACCGUAAUGUUAGCGCGCGGGACAGAAUGGCGCGCUCCAGCGGCGACGGAAAAACCGCGCGCACGGGAACUGCUUGCCCACGCGCACGAAAAGGUGGCAGCACGCGCGUCAUUUUUGCCGCGUCGCUUCCCGCGCGCCUAUAAAAGCGCAGCGCUCUGCCGCUCCCUCGCGCGUCACCGCUUCGCUCUCUCUCUCUCCCCCUCUACCUCUCGCCCCGCCGCCGCUCCAGCGCGCCGCCACCGCUCCAGCGCCCCGUCCCGACGCGCCACCAUGCCGCCGCGCCGCCGUUCUGCGUCGGGCUACCGUGGCGUCCGCGAGCGCCCCAAUGGCGGGUUCUACGCCGAGAUAUGCUCCGGCGAUCUCCGGCUUAGCCUCGGCACAUACGACACAACGCACGAGGCCGCCCACGCGUUCGACGCGGCGGCGUGGCGCCUAGGAAGGCCACGCCGCCAAAUGAACUUCCAAGACGUUCACACGCUCCAGCAGGCGUUAGACGUCGCCCCGCCGCCUCGUGUAAACUCCGCACAAGACCGUGCGGAGCACACUGUGCGGCAGCGCCACCUCCUCGUCGCCCAAGAGGACGAGCGGGUCAUGGCGGAGUGGCGCCGGCGCCACCCGGAGGACGUCGCCUAUGAGCAGGAAUAUUGGGCAAGGCGCUGCAAGGAGGACACGCGCCGGCGCCGCGAGGAGCGGUUGGACAGGCGUCGGCGGAAGGCAUUGGCGAGUGCGCAGGCCGACAUCGUCAAUGCAGGCGGGAGGACGGAGGUCCUUGUUCACUGAAGAAGAUGAGCGUUGGUUCGACAUCUGGCUAUUAACCUCUGACGACACCAACGACGAUGAUGAUGGUGCAGAUGAUUGGAGCGACUGGGAUUAGUUUUAUGUUUUCAAACUAUCUUUUUUUCGAAAAGGGUUUUCAAACUAUCUAGCACCGAACUAUCUAUCUAUGUUUUCGAACUACCUAUCUAGUUGCAAUCUAUGUAAAAUAACUUUGUAUCCUUUUUCUUUUGAUGCAAUCUAUUUGUUAAAAAUGUUGUGCGCGUCCUGCAUUUUUUGGCACUGCUCAAGCGGCGCGCGCUGCAUUAUAGCGCGGCUGUUGGAGCCAGCGGCUAUCCCGCGCUAAACCAGCCGAAGCGCGCGCGGCGAACGCAUUUUUUAGACGCGGCGCGAAGCACGGCUCUUGGAGAUGCUCUAAGGUAGAGGAAUAAGCGGCGCGUGGGGGCCAGAUAGGACGGGUAUCGAUUGCUCCAGGCGGUUACGACCCAACUGGAUCAGUCCGUUGAUUUAAAUGGUUUUCUAAAUUUUAGGAUGCCAUGCAUUAGGAAAACCAUAUCCAUACCAUGCAAUAGACAACAUUAAGAUCCGACCCAAUAAAAGUAGCCGUGGCUGCGUCAGACAGGAGAUCAUCGGUUUUUUAUGGUUUUGAAUUUAUUUGUUCUGUCAAGUCCGUAUAUGCGAGCAUGUGGGGACAAAGUUGGUUACUGUUGCAGAUUAUUUUUUGCUGGUGAAUACUGUUGAAGAAAUUUAUUGUAUGAAAGAAGUACUUCCUCCGUCUUAAAAUAACUGUCACAACUUUGUACUAGCUCUAAUACAAAAUAAUACUAAGCUUAAGACCUUUAUUUUGGGACAGGGGAAGUACACACUAAUAAAAAAACUAGGCUUUUUAUCUCAGAGCAAUUACCUUUGUCACGCGAGCAGCCAUCCGUUAUGUAUGGAUUGCCUCCGUAACCACGGUCACAGUAACAAGUAUACUCAUCCUGAUACUGCUGGCGACUGUUGCUAUGGUUGCUGAGACAUGCAUAAUCUGUGCUGUUUUGGAAGGGGCCACCAGGUUCAUCAAUGGUGAUACCCCAGAAGAUAGAGGCGUGAUCAGUGCUUACAUCAAUUGUAUCCCAUAUGGAGCUUCGGUUACUGUGCGCUUUGAACUCCAGCUUUCCAAUCUUGUGGCGGACGAACUUGAUGUCGAAGCCGGUAGUAGACGCGGAUAUAUAACCGGUGGAGCAACAUCCUGUACCGUUGCAGUCCUGCCUGAGGCUGGACACCUUAUCCGUGAUGUCUUCGUCAGGGCAUGUAGUAGUGCACUGACCCGCUGUCUUGUUCGUACCGUUGUCGAGCACAUACAUGUCGAAGUCGCAACCAGUGAAGUUUAAUCGUAAAUAAUAGCUAGUGGGAGAUCUCACAGGAUUCCAGGAGAUGUUGUAGGCAUCCUCCUCAGGUCUCACGGGGACGGAUUGGGAAAACGAUACCUCGAUAUUUUGUUGGACAUAGGGAUCGCCGGCCCUGAUGUUAUCGACGACCUCGGUGAUGCCGUCGUACAGGAAGAGUCUGGGAGGCUGCGACGCAUCGGGGGUUCUGUUGCAGAAGAGCUCAAAGUCCCGCUGCGGCGGCCGGAAGCAGCCCGGCCCUAUGCCGAACGGGUAGUCGAAACUGAGGUUGCCACAUCUCUUCUGACAGCCGGCCAGGGAGGGAAGAGCACUCCUGUUCCCGCCCUGGCUUCCUUGCACGCCAGCUGAUGCUCGUGCCGUUACCGUCCAUAGCAACAGCAGCGCGAGCAAGCAGAGGAGCCUCGUCUUCAUCAUCUCACAGGUGUAUUCGAGGGGAAAUUGUGUACUGAGCUUUAGGUGUCUGGCUGAUUUAGCUUCCAGCGUUGGUUCUCUUUCAUAUAUAUCACUCACUGUCGUACUUUACGUACUCCACAAUUUAAACGGAAUCACACGUUCCAUCGCCGUUGUGGGGAAAAAAGAAACACCACUAACACGCCACCAGCAUAAAAGAUCCUAACUUGGUUUUGUCAGGCAGGGAACGUCUUUGAACAGUUGAGUACCCCCUACCACGGGUUAGAAAUUGAAUGUUGUGCCACAAAAGGUCGGCUUGGGUGUGUUUGGUUUGAGGAUAUGGUGACACGAGACGGGUUCAUUCCGUCCCCAGUUCAUCAUUCCAAUGUUUAGUUGAGGAUGGAACCGGAACCGGGUGAUCCUCAGAAAAAGAAUAUUCCCUAUAUAUGCUUCAUCAAGCGAUUCCACCAAAUCGAAGGAAUCAACUGGUUAUUCUUCUCUUAUUGAUAGAAGAAAAAAAGAAAAUACACCUGCUAAUUGUUAAAACCAAAAAUGCAAUGAAAAUGUUGCCGGAAUUUAUAUAAUAUAUCGAUAAAAGAAAAAUAAAAACCCCACAAAGUGAGUUGAGUCAUAUUCUUCUCAUUUCAUAUCUCCAACCAAACACAAGAAUGGAACGAACCCGUGACGUCUUUUAUCUUCAACCGAACACAAGAAUGGAACCAACCCAUUCCUUCAAAACGAGACCAUGACAUGCCAUGCCUUUUGGUUCUCAAACCAAACACGUAUUUGUGGCAAGAACAAGUCCGUCCGUGUAUUCUCUGCCAGUGAACGGCUUUGGAUGUUACACGUUGAUGUUACACGUUCCGUCGCUGUUGUGGUGAAAAAAGAAACAUUUUCCGAACUUGGUUUUGCAAGGCAGGGAACGUCUUUGAAGAGUUCAGUAUUAAUUAAUUUCUGAUGUAACACAUACUUGUGGCAAGAACAAGUCCGUGUAUUCUCUGCCACUGAACGGCUUUGUAUAUUUCUGUACUGCUUGUACAAUUCAAAACUCCCCUCUCGCAUUGACUGACUUUGUGGAGUCUCAAGUCUUUUUUUUUCUUCAAGUGGAGAUCAGGACAUAUGGGGUAGCAUUCUUAUUUAAUUAGCAGACGGUCGACUUAUUUUUUUCAAUGAAACGCGUACAUAAUUUCAAUUACCCUGGCAGCACGGCAAACAUCGCAACCGAAACUCUGUCAACCGGUAACAUCUUCCAGCUGCCAAAUGGGUCUCUCGAACGAAACAAAAGCCUCGACGACGUGGAGCAAAUCGACCACAGCCAACCCAACGGCAUGGAUGCAACCAGCACUGCCAUAGCAUAGCAUGCAGCAGGCAUGCCGCCAUGAUCUUUUCCUAUCCUCUUGGAGCGAUCGAGCAGCAGGUCCAUUACGUACCGAUAUGUGUUUGCUGGUAUAUAUUGAUCCAGAUUCGGAUGCUCAAGUGGAAUUUAGAACAUUUCAAAGAGUGAGAGAUCCAACUACAAGGAAACAGGGAUCUUUAGCAUUAGUUCCAAGACAGAUAGAUUGAUGCGGCAUGGUUCCCGCGGUGUUGCGAGAGUAGACUACUAGAGACAGGCAGAGCUGCUUGCAUCGUAGAAAUAAAUCGGUGUCUUCUGUUAUUAUUGCUGCAAGAGAGAAAAUUAGGGGCUAGCACCGAGAUAACUGAAUCAAUGUGAUAGAUUGAAAAAGUAAGGGUGUGUGCAUUUUGGUCUCAAACUCUCAAUCAAAUUUCCUGUCUAAUAUUGUGUUUGGACACAUGUCCGCUAGGGUGUGUGUGCACGUAUUUCAUUCUUGUUGAAAACAAAUAAUUCUUCGUCUCUCAUUUAAUUUUCUAUUUUUUGGGGGGAGGGGGAUCCUUUGUCUCUCACUUAAUUUAGGGUGGAAAAAUCCUUCGUAUCAAUCGAAUAAUUUGGGACCCUUUCCCCAUCAUCCACCUGCUGGCCUUGUUAGAAUUUUCAAAAGGAAGAAAACAGGCCGGGUGGGAAAAAUGCCGACAGGCGCCUGCCCUCCAAACUAGACAGAUCCAAGAGUUCACAAAAAUAAAACGAUAGGGUAUACAAAGAAAAAACUCAACCUAACUAGCUUGAUCAUGGAGACCUAAUACCCAGUGGGGUGCCUUAGGUGCAAACUGAAACUUAUUUUUGGGCUGGGGUGGGACUGGGACUGGGAUACGGUGUACUUCAAGGAUGCCAAGACCAGGGAAGGGGAAUAAUGAGAAGGAGAAGAAGCUUUCCGGUAAUUUCAGCUACGGGCAGUUUGUACCUUAAGUUAUCGGAGAUGGGGCGACGGAUAAAAUCGGCUGAUCCGCUUUUUACGGGUCGUCCAUUCCUCGCCCAUGGGGCGGUCCUCACAGAUUUUGUGGUCCCUAUUCUCCCCUUCCAUGGUCCUCAACAAGGAAGUGUUGGUUGCACUCGCUAUGAAGAGGCCGCAUUGUUAGAGGCCCUAUUCUCCCCUUCCAUGGGCCGAUAGGGCACGAAGCAUUUUUAGGGCAUGAGAGGGCAAAAAAGCCGCUCCAAUAGCAGCCUAAUAGCAAAAUUGUUAUCAAUUUUUUUGAACAGCCCUAAAAUGGUGAAUAGUGUGUCUAUAUGAAUAUUUAAAACACAUAUGACGACAACUACUACCUUCAUUCCUAAAUAUAAGUCUUUUAAAAGAUUUCACUAGGAGUCUACAUGCGGAGCCAAAUGAACGAAUCUACACUAAAAAAUAUGUCUAUAUACGUCCGUAUAUAGUCCAUUAGUGGAAUCUCUAGAAAGACUUACAAUUAGGAACGGAGGUAGUACGAACCAUCUCUCUUAAACUUGGCGGACGCUUCUGCUGACCGCCCCUUCGUAACGGUUGUAGAGCUUAGGGGUGGGGGUCCCGGAGGUGGUGGGUGCAGUCGGAAGCGGCGGCGUGUCCCAGAGGAGGUCGUGGUAUCUGGGUAUGGGGAGGUCGGGGUGGGAAAAACUGGCAAGGGCCUCGCGGAAGUGAAAUAGAGGAGAUAAGGCUGCGAGCAGUGAGUCUGAUCAAUGAAUUUGGCAGCUUUCCUGCCAACAUUAAAAAAAAUACACACUAGACGAAGGCCAGCGAUGCGGCUGGUUUCUUCCAGAGACCAAUCGAUGUGUUAGGCUAGCUAGCGUGCAUGCAUGUUGACAGGUUCUUUUCCCGUUUUUAAUAGUUUGGAUCCUUUCGAACACAAAGGAUAAGCCGAGGGACUAAACUUAUAAAGACUAAGGCGUUCCUGAAGACACACGGGAGAGAUAGUCAAGUGCUUUCGCCAUACUCUGUCUAGUACUAUGUUUUAUAUUAAUAAAUGUUAUGUGGGUGGAUCUUAACUAGUGCAUCGUCUAGGCUAAGACAAGAACACUUUUAUGAUUAAUCCCUCUGGCAAGCAUCCGCAAAUACAAGAGAGAAAUUAAGGCAAAGCCUAAUCAUAACAAUAAGCUUUAGGAUCCAAUACCCCCUCAUGCAAAAGUAUGCAAACUGGAGUUCAGGUUUCUGUCACUCCGGCAACCCACCAUAAGCAUUCUUUAUACACGAUGCAUUCCCCUAGGUCCUUAAAAAGGCGAAGUGUUAUGUAGUCGACGUUCACAUAACACCACUAGAAGAAUAACACCAUAACUUAAAUAUGAAUCAACACAUAUUACUUCAACAUCAUAUGACUACUAGCAUCUAGACUUUUCCCAUGUCCUCAAGAACUAACGAAACUACUCACAAGACAUAAAAGAGAUCAUGAUCAGAGGUGAUGAAAAUAUGAUUAACAAUUUGGUCAUAACAAUAAUUCUCCAACAAAACUCAAUAGCAUUCACCACAAAAGAGUAAUCAACACCGGUAGAGUAGAGGGGAUGAAUAGUGCAAGGUACAACUCCGAUUGCAAUGGUGAAGUAGAUGGGAUGAAGAUGGAGAUGGUGCUGGUGAUGGUGAUGAUGGUGAUGAUGAUCUCGAUGAUGCCCGUGACGAUGGUGAUGACGAUGGGGACGAUCUCCCCUUCCGGGAGGAGUUCUCCCAGGCGGAAUCUGCCCGCCGGAAAGGUCUUUUCUUCUGUGUAGGUUUCCGCCACGGAGCGGCGGCAGAACUACGAAAACUCUUCUGUCCACGUAAAUUUUAGGUCAAGAGGAUGAUAUAGGCCACAGGAGAGCGCCAGAGGUAGGACCCACCACCCAGGUGGCCUCUGGGCGCGGCCUAGCGGUGGCCCGCGCCAACAGGUCCCGUGGGUGACCUGUGCCCCCCCUUCGGCCCUCCUUCGACCAGUCUUCGUGAUCUGUUCGGAAACUUCUCCCUCAAAAUUUCAGCGCAGUUGGAGAUGUUCUGAUAUUGUAACUCUUCGUGCUAUUUUCUUUGCUAAAUCAUGUGUCUGUUGUUUCCGCACCGGAAAGUUGUAAACUGUGUAAAAUAAGCCAAAACACUAUCAGUACAUCAUCAUAAUGUGAAAUAUAUCAAUGAAUAGAGACAAAUUAUGAUACAAAAUAGUGAUGUAUUUUGGACGUAUCAGCAUCCCCCGCAACCCAGGUAAUCUAUGCCGCAUCGCAAAGGAGGUGAAGGAGUUGAGGGCUAAGGUGGAGGAUUUGAGCAACAUGAACCUGCGCUAUCGGCUCAUCAAGGAGGGCUCGGGCUCCAAGCCUAUCAGCACAGAGGGGCAGGCCAGCACUGCCGCCACUGUAAUGUUUGCCACUUCGGAACACAACUCAUCAUCAAAGGUGAACGUCCACCAGCUGGUUAGUAGCAAUGAUGUGAACCUUAGGGUGAUCUCCAUGUGGGGAACUAGCUGGGAUCUCGAGAAGACGUCUAGCAUCUAGGAAAUUUAUGAUCACCCAAUGGUUCUUGAAAGAUUUGAAUUCCGUGUUUCGAUUAGGUUGAUGCAUCCGUUCAAUCCACAAGAGCUCUUGUGUAGCUUGGUAAGGAAAUUCUAUGAAAAUUACCACGAUGAAGUUGGAAAGGCAGAACAAGCAACAAGUGUGUUGGGGUUAAUGUUUUGGUCAAGUUGGAGACGAUGAAUCAAAGUGAUUUAGUCUGUGUGUUUAAUGCGGUGUUAUGUAGCAAUAGCUACCUGAUUGUAAUUGAUGACCUAUCCACAAUAGUGGAGAGGCACUGCAUUACGAAGUACUUGCCCGACAACAAGAAGCAAGGUAGAAUCAUUGUUUCGACGCAGCAAGCUGAAAUUGCAAGCUUGUGCACAAAGAAACCGUACCGACUUUCAGACUUCAAGCAGUUGUCACGUGAUCAAACUAUUUAUUUGUUCCACAGAAAGGUAUUUUUUUCUUAUUUGGUGUCGGGAAGAUGCCUUCCACCAAGGAGGUUCGACGACCCAAAGGUAUUGAAACAAUUUGGGUUGUAUGCUUGGGUUAGUUUGAACAUGGAACAAAGUUAUUUAGUCCCUGUCUUUAAUGUACAGUUGUGUAGCAACAACUACCUUAUUGUGAUUGACAACGUAUCUGUUGGGGAACGUCGCAUGGGAAACAAAAAAUUUCCUACGCGCACGAAGACCUAUCAUAGUGAUGUCCAUCUACGAGAGGGAAUGUGUGAUCUACGUACCCUUGUAGACCGUACAGCAGAAGCGUUAGUGAACGCGGUUGAUGUAGUGGAACGUCCUCACGUCCCUCGAUUCGACCCGCGAACUAUCCCGCGAUCAGUCCCACGAUCUAGUGCCGAACGGACGGCACCUCCGCGUUCAGCACACAUACAGCUCGAGAUGAUCUCGGCCUUCUUGAUCCAGCAAGAGAGACGGAUAGGUAGAAGAGUUCUCCGGCAGCGUGACGAUGCUCCGGAGGUUGGUGAUGAUCUUGUCGCAGCAGGGCUCCGCCCGAGCUCCGCAGACACGCGGUCUAGAGGUAAAACCGUGGAGAUAUGUGGUCGGGCUGCCGUGGCAAAGUUGUAUAAAAUCAGCCCUAAAACCUACGUAUAUAUAGGGGGGAAGAGGGGGAGCCUUGCCUUGGGGUCCAAGGACCCCUAAGGGCUUCGGCCGAGCCAAGGGGGGGAGAUCUCCCCUUCCAAACCGAGUCCAACUAGGUUUGGAAGGAGGAGUCCUUCCCCCUUUUCCCACCUCCUCUUUUUUUUUCUCUUUGAUUUUUCUUCCUAUGGCGCAUAGGGCUCUUUUGGGCUGUCCCACCAGCCCACUAAAGGCUGGUGCGCCACCCCAAUGCCUAUGGGCUUCCCCCGGGGUGGGUUCCCCCCCGGUGAACUUCCGGAACCCAUUCGUCAUUCCCGGUACAUUCCCGGUAACUCCGAAAACCUUCCGGUAAUCAAAUGAGGCCAUCCUAUAUAUCAAUCUUCGUUUCCGGACCAUUCCGGAAACCCUCUUGACAUCCGUGAUCUAAUCCGGGACUCCGAACANNNNNNNNNNNNNNNNNNNNNNNNNNNNNNNNNNNNNNNNNNNNNNNNNNNNNNNNNNNNNNNNNNNNNNNNNNNNNNNNNNNNNNNNNNNNNNNNNNNNGCGGGAUGGUUCGCGGGGCGGACCGAGGGACGUGAGGACGUUCCACUACAUCAACCGCGUUCACUAACGCUUCUGCUGUACGGUCUACAAGGGUACGUAGAUCACACAUCCCCUCUCAUAGAUGGACAUCACCAUGAUAGGUCUUCGUGCGUGUAGGAAAAUUUUUGUUUCCCAUGCGACGUUCUCCAACAGUGGCAUCAUGAGCUAGGUUCAUGCGUAGAUGUCUUCUCGAGUAGAACACAAAAGUUUUUGUGGGCGGUGAUGUGCGUUUAGCUGCCCUCCUUAGUCUUUUCUUGAUUCCACGGUAUUGUUGGAUCGAAGCGGCUCGGACCGACAUUACUCGUACGCUUGCGAGAGACUGGUUUCAUCGCUACGAGUAACUCCGUUGCUCAAAGAUGACUGGCGGGUGUUAGUUUCUCAAACUUUAGUUGAAUCGGAAUUGACCGAGGAGGUCCUUGGAUGAGGUUAAAUAGCAACUUAUAUAUCUCCGUUGUGGUGUUUGCGUAAGUAAGAUGCGAUCCUACUAGAUACCCAUGGUCACCACGUAAAACAUGCAACAACAAAAUUAGAGGACGUCUAACUUGUUUUUGCAGGGUAUGCAUGUGAUGUGAUAUGGCCAACGAUGUGAUGUGAUAUAUUGGAUGUAUGAGAUGAUCAUGUUGUAAUAGUUAAUAUUGACUUGCACGUCGAUGGUACGGCAACCGGCAAGAGCCAUAGGGUUGUCUUUAAACUAACGUUUGUGCUUGCAGAUGCGUUUACUAUUUUCCUAGGAUGUAGUUUUAGUAGUAAUAGCAUGAGUAGCACGACAACCCCGAUGGCGACACGUUGAUGGAGAUCAUGAUGAUGGAGAUCAUGGUGUGACGCCGGUGACAAGAAGAUCGUGCCGGUGCUUUGGUGAUGGAGAUCAAGGAGCACGUGAUGAUGGCCAUAUCAUGUCACUUAUGAAUUGCAUGUGAUGUUAAUCCUUUUAUGCACCUUAUUUUGCUUAGAACGACGGUAGCAUUAUGAGGUGAUCUCUCACUAAAAUUUCAAGACGAAAUUGUGUUCUCCCCGACUGUGCACCGUUGCUACAGUUCGUCGUUUCGAGACACCACGUGCUGAUCGGGUGUGAUAGACUCAACGUUCACAUACAACGGGUGCAAAACAGUUGCGCACGCGGAACACUCGGGUUAAGCUUGAUGAGCCUAGCAUGUGCAGACAUGGCCUCGGAACAAAUGAGACCGAAAGGUCGAGCAUGAAUCGUAUAGUUGAUAUGAUUAGCAUAGAGAUGCUUACCACUGAAACUAUUCUUGACUCAUGUGAUGAUCGGACUUGAGAUAGUGGAUUUGGAUCAUGUACCACUCAAAUGACUAGAGAGAUGUACUUUUUGAGUGGGAGUUCUUAAGUAAUAUGAUUAAUUGAACUAAUUGUCAUGAACAUAGUCUAAUGGUCUUUGCGAAUUACGAUGUAGCUUGCGCUAUAGCUCUACUGUUUUUAUAUGUUCCUAGAGAAAAUUUAGUUCAAAGUUGAUAGUAGCAAACUUUGCAGACUAAGUCUGUAAAACCGAGGAUUGUCCUCGUUGCUACGCAGAAGGCUUAUGUCCUUAAUGCACCACUCGGUGUGCUGCACCUCGAGCGUCGUCUGUGGAUGCUGUGAACAUCCGACAUACAUGUUUCUGAUGACUACACGAUAGUUCAGUGCAAAAUACUUAAUGGCUUAGAAGCAAGGCGCCGAAAACGUUGUAAAACGUCACGGAACAUAAGUGAUGUUCUAAAGAGAUGAAAUUGUGAUUUCAUGCUUGUGCCCUUGUUAAGAGGUACGAGACCUCCAACAAGAUUCUUUGUCCACAAAGUAAAGGAAAAAAGCUCAAUCGUUGAGCGUGUGCUCAGAUUGUCUGAGUACGACAAUCGCUUGAAUCAAGUGGGAGUUAAUCUUCCAGAUGAGAUAGUGAUGGUUCUCCAAAGUCACUGCCACCAAGCUGUGAGAGCUUCGUGAUGAACUAUAACAUAUCAAGGAUAGAUACAAUGAUCCUUGAGCGAUUCGCGAUGUUUGACACUGCGAAACUAGAAAUCAAGAAGGAGCAUCAAUAGUUGAUGGUUUGUAGAACCACUAAAUUUCAAGAAAGGCAAGGACUAGAAGGGAUACUUCGUGAAAUGGCAAAACAGUUGCUACACUAAUGAAGAGACCCAAGAUUAAACCCAAACCUGAGACUGAGUGCUUCUGUAAUGAGGGGAACAGUCACUGAGGCGGAGCAACUCUAGAUACUUAGUAGAUAAGAAGGCUGGCAAAAGUCGAAAGAAGUAUAUUUGAUAUACAUGAUAUUGAUGUGUACUUUACUAGUACUCCUAGUAGCAUGAGGGUACUGGAUAUCGGUUCAGUUGCUAAGUGAUUAGUAACACGAAAUGAAAGCUACGGCAUAAAUGGAGACUAGCUAAAGGCGAGGUGACGAUACGUGUUGAAAGUGUUUCCAAGGUUGAUAUGAUCAAACAUCGCACGCUCCCUCUACCAUUGGGAUUGGUGUUAACCUAAAUAAUUAUUAUUUGGUGCUUGCGUUAAGCAUGAACAUGAUUGGAUCGUGUUUAUUGCAAUACGAUUAUUCAUUUAAAGAGAAUAAUGGUUACUCUAUUUUCUUGAAUAAUCACCUUCAAUGGUUUAUUGAAUCUCGAUCGUAGUGUUACACAUGUUCAUGAUAUUGGUGCCAAAAGACACGAGGUAAUGAUGAUAGUAGCACUUACUUGUGGCACUGCCGCUUGAGUCAUGUUGGUAUAAAUUGCAUGAAGAGGCUCCAUGCUGAUGGUUCUUUGUACUCACUUGUUUUUGAAUCACUAGUGACAUGCAAAUCAUACCACAUGAGCAAGGCCUUGUUUUCAUUGAGAUGAAACAAGAUAGUAACUUGUUGGAAGUGAUACAUUUUGAUGUAUGCAGUCCAAUGGGUGCUGAGGCACGCAGUGGAUAUCAUUAUGUUCUUACUUCACUCACGAUUUGAGUACAUACAGGAGUAUUUACUUGAUGAAUCACAAGUCUGAAAUAUUGAAAAGUUCAAUUCCGUUUCAGAGUGAAGUUCAUCGUAACAAGAGGAUAAACUGUCUACGAUAUGAUCAUAGAAAUGAAUAUCUGAGUUACGAGUUUUGGUACGCAGUUAAGACAAUGUGGAAAUUGUUUCACAGUUCAUGCCACCCGGAACAUCAUAGUGUGAUGAUGUGUUUGAACGUCAUAGCCAUGCACUAUUUGGUAUGGUGCAUGCUAUGAUGUCUCUUAUCAAAUUACCACUAUCUUUUAUGGGUUAAGCAUUAGAGACAACCGCAUUCACUUUAAAUAGGGCACCACGUAUUUCCGUUGAGAUGACACAUUAUAGACUGAGGUUUAGAGAAAUCUAAACUGUCGUUUCUUGAAAGUUUGGGGCUUCGACACUUAUGUGAAAAAGUUUCAGUCUGAUAAGCUCGAACCCAAAGCGGUUAAAUGCAUCUUCAUAGGAUAUCCAAAACAGUUGGGUACAUCUCCUAUCUCAGAUCCGAAAGCAAAGUGUUUGUUUCUAGAAACAGAUCCUUUCUCGAGGAAAGGUUUCUCUCGAAAGAAUUGAGUGGGAGGGUAGUAGAACUUGAUGAGGUUAUUGAACCAUCACUUCAACCAGUGUGUAGCAGGGCGCAGGAAGUUGUUCCUGUGGCGCCUACACCAAUUGAAGUGGAAGGUGAUGAUGGUGAUCAUCAAGCAUCGGAUCAAGUUACUACAAGCCUCGUAGGUUGACAAGGUCACGUACUACUACAGAGUGGUACGGUAAUCCUGUCUUGGAGGUCAUGUUGUUGAGCAACAGUGAACCUACGAGUUAUGAAGAAAGCGAUGGUGGGCCCAGAUUCCGACAAAUGGUUGGAAGCCAUGAAAUCCGAGAGAGGAUCCAUGUAUGAAAACAAAGUGUAGACUUUGGAAGAACUACUUGAUGGUCAUAAGACUAUUGAGUAAAAUUGAUCUUUAAAAGAAGACAGACGAUAAUGGUGAUAAGUCACUAUUAAGAAAAGCUCGAGUUGUCGCAAAGAUGUUUUGGACAAGAUCAAACAGUUGACUAUGAUGAGACUUUCUCACUCGUAGCGAUGCUAAAGGUCUGUUAGAAUUAUGUUAGUUGUUGAUGCAUUAUUUAUGAAAUAUUGCACGUAGGAUGUCAAAACAUUGUUUUCUCGACGUUUCCUUCAGCAAACAUUGUAUGUGAUACAACCAGAAGGUUUUGUCGAUCCUAAAGAUACUAGCAAGUAUGCAAGCUCCAGUGAUCCUUCAAUGGACUGGUGCAAGCAUCUCGGAGUUGGAAUAUACACUUUGAUGAGAUGAUCAAAGAUUUUGGGUUUGUACAAGGUUUUUGAGAAACUUGUAUUUCCAAAGAAGUGAGUGGGAGCACUAUAGAAUUUCUGAUAAGUAUAUGUGGUAGACAUAUUGUUAAUCAGAAGUAAUGUAGAAGUUCUGUAAAGCAUAUAAGGUUGUUUGAAAGGAGUUUUCAAAGGAAUACUUGGAUUGCGCUACUUGAACGUUGAGCAUCAAAGAUCUAUGGAGAUAGAUCAAAAGCGCUUAAUGAAAGUUUCAAUAAGAUGCAUACCUUGACAAGUUUUUGAAGGAGUUCAAAAUAGAUCAGCAAAGAAGGAGUUCUUCGUUGCGUUGUAAGGUGUAAAUUUGAGUAAGACUCAAAACCCGACCAUGGCAGAAUAAAGAGAAUAGACGAAGGUCGUCUUCUAUGACUUAGCCGUAGAAUCUAAAGUAUGUCAUGCUGUGUACCGCACCUGAUGUGUGCCUUGACUCAAAGUAUGUUGAGAGGUACAGAGAGUGAUCCAUGAUUGAAUCACUAGCAGCGGUCAAAAUUUAUCCUUAGUAACUAAUGGACUAAGGAAUUUUUUCUCGAUUAUGGAGGUGGUUAAAGAGUUCGUCGUAAAGGAUUACGUCGAUGCAAGCUUUGACACUAAUCCGAAUAACUAUGAGUAGUGAAACGGAUUCGUAUAGUAGAGUAGAUAUUUGGAGCAUUUUCGAAUAGCACGUAGUAGCAGCAUCUAUAAGAUGACAUAAAGAUUUGUAAAGAACGCACGGAUCUGAAAGUUUCAGAACCGUUGACUGAAACCUCUCUCACGAGCAAGACAUGAUCAGACCCCAGAACUAUAUGGGUGUUGGAUUCGUUGGAAUCACAUGGUGAUGUGAACUAGAUUAUUGACUCUAGUGCAAGUAGGAGACUGUUGGAAAUAUGCUCUAGAGGCAAUAAUAAAUUAGUUAUUAUUAUAUUUCUUAGUUAAUGAUAAUCGUUUAUUAUCCAUGCUAUAAUUGUAUUGAUUGGAAACACAAUACUUGUGUGGAUACAUAGACAAAACACUAUCCCUAGCAAGCCUCUAGUUGACUAGCUCGUUGAUCAAAGAUGGUCAAGGUUUCCUGGCUAUAGGCAAGUGUUGUCACUUGAUAACGGGAUCACAUCAUUAGGAGAAUCAUGUGAUGGACUAGACCCAAACUAAUAGACGUAGCAUGUUGAUCGUGUCAUUUUAUUGCUACUUUUUUCUGCGUGUAAAGUAUUUGUUCCUAUGACCAUGAGAUCAUAUAACUCACGGACACCGGAGGAAUGCUUUGUGUGUAUCAAACGUCGCAACGUAACUGGGUGACUAUAAAGAUGCUUUACAGGUAUCUCUGAAGGUGUUCGUUGAGUUAGUAUGGAUCGAGAUUGGGAUUUGUCACUCCGUGUGACGGAGAGGUAUCUCGGGGCCCACUCGGUAAUACAUUAUCACACACAAGCCUUGCAAGCAAUGUGACUUAGUGUAAGUUACGGGAUCUUGUAUUACGGAANAGGUUUUCGGAGUUACCAGGAAUGUACCGGGAAUGACGAAUGGGUUCCGGGAGUUCACCGGGGGGGGGGGCAACCCACCCCGGGGAAGCCCAUAGGCAUUGGGGGUGCCGCACCAUCCCUUAGUGGGCUGGUGGGACAGCCCAAAAGAUCCCUAUGCGCAUUGGAAGAAAAAUCAAAGAGAAAAGAAAAAAAAAAGAAGGUGGGAAAGGGAAGAAGGACUCCACCUUCCAAACCAAGUAGAAUUCGGUUUGGGAGGGGGAGACCUUCCCCCUUGGCUCGGCCGACCCCCUUGGGAGUCCUUGGACCCCAAGGCAAGUCUCCCCCUUCCAUCCUUCUAUAUAUAGUGGGGUUUUAGGGCUGAUUUGAGACAACUUUGCCACGGCAGCCCGACCACAUAUCUCCACGGUUUUACCUCUAGAUCGCGUUUCUGCGGAGCUCGGGCGGAGCCCUGCUGAGAUAAGAUCACCACCAACCUCUGGAGCGCCGUCACGCUGCCGGAGAACUCUUCUACCUCUCCGUCUCUCUUGCUGGAUNNNNNNNNNNNNNNNNNNNNNNNNNNNNNNNNNNNNNNNNNNNNNNNNNNNNNNNNNNNNNNNNNNNNNNNNNNNNNNNNNNNNNNNNNNNNNNNNNNNNNNNNNNNNNNNNNNNNNNNNNNNNNNNNNNNNNNNNNNNNNNNNNNNNNNNNNNNNNNNNNNNNNNNNNNNNNNNNNNNNNNNNNNNNNNNNNNNNNNNNNNNNNNNNNNNNNNNNNNNNNNNNNNNNNNNNNNNNNNNNNNNNNNNNNNNNNNNNNNNNNNNNNNNNNNNNNNNNNNNNNNNNNNNNNNNNNNNNNNNNNNNNNNNNNNAUCACACAUCCCCUCUCGUAGAUGGACGUCACCAUGAUAGGUCUUCGUGCGCGUAGGAAAAUUUUUGUUUCCCAUGCGACGUUCUCCAACAGUAAGCCUGGGCAUGCGCACCAGGGCGGGGACCCAGGACGCCUGCAGCGUUGGGAGGGAUCCAGCCAGGGCGUGGUGACGGAAGAGCCAUGCCGUAGGGGGCGAAGUACCCAGUGAAGGGUGAAAGGGCCGGCGGCGACGGAUGGCCACGUCCAGAGGAGUCCCCGCGGCCACGACCACGUCUGCGGCCACGACCGCGACCGCGGUCACCAUCGCCGGAGCGGUCACCGCGGCCACGACCAGGGGGCGUCUGGGAAGGAUGCGGGUGACCCUGGGCGCGAUCGGCAGUGGGGCGAUCUGGAGCGGAGGAGCCACUGCUCUGGCCGCGAUCACCGCCAGUGAUGGCGAAGGCAGAUGCACUUUCCUCGGCAGCACGCUGGGUCUGGGAUUCCUCGGCGAGGACGACCCGAGAGAGCACGGCGUCGAAGGGGAGCUCCUGGUCGCCGAGGACGACACGGAUGGUGUCGAGCCGCUUGUCGAGGCCAUGGAGAAACUGGGUGGUGAGGUCGCAUUCGGUGACGGCGUGAUCGAUGUCGGCGAGACCGUCGGUGAGGAGCUUCAUGCGGCGGGCGUAUUCGGAGACGGAGAGGUCACCUUGCUUGAGGUUGCGGUACUGCCGAUUGAGCAGCAUGAAACGAGCGGCGCGGUUGGCGAGGAAGAAGUCGCGGAUCUUCUUCCAGAUGGCGUAGGAGGUGGUGGCACCGACGACAUGGUCGAUCAUGGGAUCGGCAAGGGUGGCAUAGAGCCAGAGCGCGACAUGAGCGUCGAGCUCACGGUAGGCCCCGUCGGCGUUGGAUGGUGGUGGGUGCUCGAUGAGUUAGAGAACGCCGUAGCGAACGAGGACCAUGAUGGAGAACGACUUCCACUUGUGAUAGUUGUGGUCGGCGGGAUUGAGGAAGAACUUGAUGUGGUUGGUGAUGUGAUCCGAAAAAAAUGGGGUGGCGAGGGUUGGUUGGCGACGGCGCAGGAGCCGGCGGUGCAGAGGAGAAGAGGGGGGCGAACUGAGAUCCAGAGGCGGCGGUGGAGCCAGAGAAGACGAACAACGGAGGUGGAGGAGCCGAGGUGGCCGAGGACGCGGCAGCGGCGGCGGCGGCAGUGGCCGGAGAGGAAGCGGUGUGCGGCAGAGCGCCGGGACUGAGGGCAGCGGAGGAGUGGGAGGAGGCGUCGGCGUCCAUGGCGGCCUGGUAACUGAUACCAAGUUGAAUAGAUUGAUUCCUUGACAAGUGUUACAAAGGGUUACAAGAGGUAUAUAUAUGAGGGGAGAGCCACGUCCUAUACAAGUGGCUAGUGGCCAACAUGGUCUUCCCCUGAUCCUACUCACAAGGAGAUGAUACAAGUGCUCAAGUAAUCUAAAAGUUCAAACGGACGAUUCAACAAGAAGGACAAAAUUCAUGCAAACUGGAUCUUAUUUGUUAGUUUUUGAUAUAUUUACACCAAAAAAGACAAAAUUUAACAAAGUUCAAGUGGACCUAAGGUAACUUGAACUAAAUUUAAACUAAACUAAUUAACUGAGGUAUGAGACGGUAACCUCGUAGCCAUGGCCUUUGAGGCCGCCGACACCUCCCUCGUGGUUGUCCUUCCAACGGCGGAAGGCCCUCGGGCCACGACAGCCUUAAUGAUAUCGGCCACAACUCCACACUCUUAACGCAGCCGGUCAGCCUUCGCCUAGCGCAUACGCUUGGCGAACGCAUCCCAUUUCUCCGGUCUUGGAGCACCUUCUCACUUGCCUCCUUGUUAGAUGCUGUCAGGGAGCGUGAGGACGUGGUGCGGCCGCCACGUCGAAGGUUGUGCAGGAGGCGGCCACACGCGUUGGUGAUUGCUAGGCUGGGUCGUGAUGCGAUGCCAUUUCCUUGGCGUGUUGAAAAUUGUGCGGCCAAGACGAGUCCGUACUAACCACCCGUCCAAGCUAAGCGACAACGAUGGCACCUCUUUCUUCAUGCGACAGCGACGGUGGCACUAGACCAUGGACGAAGAGCGGACUUAUGAGAACGAGGUCGUGAUUUGGUGCAUACUCCUCUUCAAUCAGCACGACCUCGAUGAGGAGGGGUGCCUCAUGCUACUCAUCGUCAUCGUUGGAGAUCACUGCUCCUCCUUAACCAUGUGCACUCAUAGAGUGGUGGCCGCUGACGGGCAAGGAGACAGUGGCCGGAGUCGCUGCAAUCCAGAUGACCCCAUAAUCCACCUGCAAGCGCAAAGAACCAACCAAAGCCAUUGCCGUUCUUGCCCAUCUCUGCAGUGUGUGGACGAUAGAAAGGAGAGGCGGUGGUGCAUAGAGUGGAGAUGGGGUUUGUGGGCGAGGUCAGCCCGCUUAGGGUCGGUGUCGCUUCAAUGCAGGUGCAGCAGCCGCUAGGUUUACCCAUCGCCAUGAGCACACCGAAGUGGCGCAUGUCAGUCGUCCGAUACGCACGUUUGACCGGCAUCAAUGUGGUAAGAGGCGAGCGGCCUGAAUGUGCGGCGAGGCUUCUACUCCCUCCGUUCCUAAAUAUAAGUCUUUUAAGCGAUUUCACUAAGGGUCUACAUACGAAACAAAAUGAUUGAAUCUAUACGCUAAAGUAUGUCUAUAUACAUUCGUAUGUAGUCCACUAGUGAAAUCUCUACAAAGACUUAUACUCCGUAUUUAGGAACGAAGGGAGUAGAACGUAACGCGUGGGGAAGGUUUUGGGUGGAACUGCUCACUCUGACAGCUACGUGGUGGACCUCUGGAUGCCCACAAAUAGCCCCCGGGUUUGAGACCAGUUUGCGGGAAUUUAAAAAAGCGGACCAGUUUGCGAACGUUUGAUGCAUGGCAUUGGAUGGCAAGAAGUAUACAGACCACGGUCUUGGAGUUCCCUAGGAGACACCUUAGAAAAGGUCGAAUAAUCCCACAACUCAUCAUGAAAUAAAAGAACCUAAAGAUGCCGGAAAUUCAAAACGAAGCUUGUACUCAUAUGGUCCUGCAUGUACAAAAUCCAAAAAAUGGUUUGAAGAAGUUUUUUUUUUUUGCAAUGGCCAUUUUUGUUUCCUCUAUACAUGUCAAAAUUUUUGUGAGAACAGACACUAGAGAUGAAAGUGCCCUUCUACACCCGAGCUCAAAUGAACCUGAGCCAACAGUAAAUUCAAAAAAUAUUGAAAAAAUAAUAAAAAACCAAAUCUGAUUUUUUUGCAGCAAACUUUCACAAUUGUUCUAAGAUCUUGCAAAAUUCAGUACAAAAUCACAUUUGUGGAAGUCGUUGUAAAAAAACAAAAAGUUUUUCUUUGCCACGACUUCCACAAAUGUGAUUUCACGAUGAAACUUUGCGAGCUCUUAAAACAUUUUUCAUAGUUUUUUACAAAGAAUCAGAUUUUUUUCAUAGCAUGUAUAUGCGAGCAUGUGGGGACAAAAUUGGUUACUGUUGCAGACUAUUUUUUGUUGGUGAAUGCUGUUGAAGAAAUUUGCUGUAUAAGAGAAGUACACUAAUAAAAAAACUAUGCUUUUUAUCUGAGAGCAAUUACCUUUGUCACGGGAGCAGCCAUCCGUUAUGUAUGGAUUGCCUCCGUAACCACCGUGGCAGUAACAAGAAUACCGAGUAGCACCAGCAUAACUGCUGCUAUGGUUGCUGAGACAUGCAUAAUCUGUGGGGCCACUAGGUUCAUCAACGGCGAUACCCCAGAAGAUAGAGGCGUGAUCAGUGCUUACAUCAAUUGUAUCCCAUAUGGAGCUUCGGUUACCGUGCGCUUUGAGCAUCAGCUUUCUAAUCUUGUGGCGGGCGAACUUGAUGUCGAAGCCGGUAGUAGACUCGGAUCUAAGAUGGAUGGAGCAACAUCCUGUACCGUUGCAGUCCUGCCUGAGGCUGACCACCUUAUCCGUGAUGUCUUCGUCAGGGCAUGUAGUAUUGCACUGACUCACCGUCUUGUUGGUAUCGUGAUCGAGCACAUACAUGUCGAAGUCGCAACCAGUGAAGUCUAAUUGUAAAGAAUAGCCACCGGGAGAUCUCCCAGGAUUCCACGAGAUGCUGUAUGCAUCCUCCUCAGGUCUCACGGAGACGGAAUGGGAAAACGAUACCUUGAUAGACUGUGGGGCAUAAACAUCGCCGGGUUUGAUGUUAUUGACGACCUCGGUGAUGCCGUCGUGCAGGAAGAGUCUGGGGCGCUGCGACGCACCGUCGGUUUUGUUGCAGAAGAGCUCAAAGUCUCGCCGCGGCGGCCGGAAGCAGCCCGGCCCUAUGCCGAACGGGUAGUCGAAGCUGAGGUUGCCACAACUCUUGUGACAGCCGGCCAGGGAGGGAAGAUCACUCCUGUUCCCGCCCUGGCUUCCUUGCACGCCAGAGGAUGCUCGUGCUGUUGCCGUCCAUAGCAACAGCAGCACGAGCAAGCAGAGGAGCCUCAUUUUGUGGGAAAAUGGUGUAUUGAGUUUAGGUGUCUCGCUGCUUUAGCUUCCAGCAUUGGUUCUCUUCUAAUGCUAAACGGAAUUAUACUCUCGUCCUCCUUUUUCAAACAGAAUUACACGUUCCGUCGCUGUUGUGGUGAAAAAAGAAGAGACAUUUUCCGAACUUGCUUUUGUAAGGCAGGGAACGUCUUUGAAGCAUUCAGUAUAUCCCCUACCACGGGUUAGAAUGUUGUACAGUAUUAAUUUCUGAUGUAACACAUACUUACUUGUGGCAAGAACAAGUCCGUGUAUUCUCUGCCACUGAACGGCUCUGGAUAUUUCGGUACAAUUCAAAACUCUCCUCUCGCAUUGACUGACUUUGUGGAGUCUCGAGUCUUUGUUUUCAAGUGGAGAUCAGGACAUACGGGGUAGCUUUCUUAUUUAAUUAGCAGACGGUCGGCUUAUUUUUCAAUGCGACGCAUACAUAAUUUCAAUUACCUGGCAGCACGGCAAACAUCGUAACCGUAACUCUUAUAUCAACUGCAGUAACAUCUUCCAGCUGCCAAAUGGCUUUCUGGAACCAAACAAGAGCCUCCGACAAGUGACGAGAAGGAGGAGGAGGAGGAGGAGGAGAAAAAAACUGUUUUAUCGUGUGGUAAAGCGCUCGGCUUAUCGGCAUAUAAGCCUUGUUCUCCAUAAAAACACCCGAUAACAACAAAUCACUCAGCUUAUGCUAUCAUAUAAGCCGUGUGAUCCGAAAAAGCUCUCGGCUCAUAAACGAGACACGGUUUCUACGUAAAAAACACUCGGCUUCUAGCACAUCACCCGAUAAAAAUACCUACCACGUGUCUUCAAUAGAAACGGCUGACGGUGCCGUCACGUCGUAAGCUGUAAUCCGAAUGUAACCAGCAGGGCAAACAUGGCUGGCAACCGAAAUUCUUACAUCAACCGAUAACAUUUUCCAGCUUCCAAACGGCUCUCUCUGGAACCAAAACAAAAACCUCCAACCACGGGGAGCUGAUCGUCCACAGCCAACCCAACGGCAUGGAUGCAACCAGCACUGCCAUAGCAUGCAGCAGACAUGCCGCCAGGAUCUUUCCCUAUCCUCUUGGAGCGAUCGAGCAGCAGGUCCAUUACGUACCAAUAUGUUUUUGCUGGUAUUGAUCCAGAUUCCGAUGCUCAAGUGGAAUUUAGGACAUUUCAAAAUGUGGGCGAUCCAACUACAAGGAAACAGGGGUCUUUAGCAUUAUUAUUAUUUAUUAGUGCCAAGACAGAUAGAUGGAUGCGGCAUUUUUCCAACGGUGUUGCGAGACUAGACUACUAUAGACAGGCCGAGCUGCUUGCAUGAUAGAAAUGUAAAUCGGUGUCUUCUGUUAUUAUUGUCGCAAGAGAGAAAAUUAGGAGCUAGCACGGAGAUAACACCAAUAAAAAACAGGGUUUUAGUUCUGGCCAGAUAAAAGCAACAAUCCACUACCGGAAUAACGAACGCUGCCGACGGCCUUAUCUACGCCGACAGCUCCCGUCGGCAUAGAUUGAGGUCCGCCGACGGCAAGGGAAAGAAUGUAGGCACAAUAAAGCCGUCGGCAUACAUCCAUCUACACCGGCUGGGGCGGUCGGCGUAGCGGUCGGCGUAGACAGGGCCGUCGGCACAUAUGUGGGUCCGGCUUCCCUGGAUCGUAAGUUAAGGUGGUUAAAACUAUGCCGACGGCCCUGACGGCGGACAUCGGCAUAGCUAUUUUCAUUCUUUUUUAAUCAAAAUCCAUGUGGCACAUCUAUGCCAAUGGCCAGGCGGUUGGCAUACAUAUUAUACGUAUCUUUGUUUUUAUUUUAUAUUUUAUACAUAUUAUACAUAUUAUGGCCAGGCAGGAAAAUGCCGCCCGCCCUAGAGGUGGUGAGACACCCCUGGUCGUCGUACCACUCCCUAGUCACCGCAUGGACUGAAUUUCUCCACCUCCGGCGCAAAACCGUCCGCUGAAUCGCCAAAUAGAUCGUCACCUCACUUGAUUUGGAGUGGGGAAAGGAGAAUCGGAGGAGCCGAGCGAAUUGUUGUUGUGGUUUCGAAAUGCUCGCCCCUGGUGAGGAGAGGUGGACGCAAUGAAGAGGGGAAGUUAUGGGUUUUAAAAAAAAUCUGAAAAUUUGAAAAUAAAUAUGCAAGUAAAGAAAGAUGUUAUGUUUAUGUGUGUAAAUUUUUAAGAUGAAAUACCUUGAAAUACUGUCUACACAAAAAAGAAAAAUUCAUAGCCUAGAAUUGUUGAACAUAUCACGCAUCAUCACUAAAGGAAUCAGUCAUUUUACCGUCAGGACGCUACAGACGACAAAAAAUUGCCGUCAGCCAUGACGGCAAAUAAUGCCAACGUCCACCAUGCCCGCAAAGGGUAGUUUUACCGUCAACGUAUGCGAGAGCAGACGGCAAAAAAAUGCCGUUAGUGAAAUUAUUUUGCUGUUGGCAGGAUCGGUAGACGACAAAAAAUUGGUACCAGACGGAACGUCCAGCCGGACAAACGACGUUAGUCCUUUUUGCCGUCAGCCCAUGGUAGUCCUGGACUGCAAAACCCCCAUUUUCUGCCCUCAUCAACAGAAACUUCAGACGGCAAAACACCCCAGAUUUUAUAGAAAAUAUCAAAGUUGUCCAGAGGGAAACGAACUGACGAGGAAAACCACGAUAUCCGUGAGCACUGCUGUUCCAAGAAUCAACAACGAAGGAAAUAAUUUCACUAUACAGAAAUAUUCAUCAUCACUUGCUGAUCCAAAACAAAACUACUCCGUUUAAAAAGAUGAGCGUAUUACACAAGAACGGAUUACACUGCAGUGUACAUAGUUCGAUCUGGAGUACACCGACGCGCCAACGACGCCUGAGGAGCUCAAACCGUCCGCCGCCUCGCCGGAGCUCGCCAACCUCGUCCGAUCGCUGGAUCCAUUGGACCCCGCCAGCUCCGUCGACACCAAGCCCCGCCGCCGACAGAGGAAAGCAGAAGAGGCGUAGGCCCGCGACACGGGAAGGCGGCGACACAGGAGAGCAACAGAGACCGAGGCAGGCGCCUACGGGUGGUGGGAGGCAGGCGGCAUCCGAAGUCGAGCAUCGUGCUGAGUACACCGAUGGCUUCUCGGGGCGAUGGGGACGGGUCGAAGAAGGGAACGGGUCGUGACCGGUGGUGCUAGGGAGCAGGUGCAAGACAGAUAGAUGGAUGCGGCAUUUUUCCAGCGGUGUUGCGAGACUAGACUACUAUAGACAGGCAGAGCUGCUUGCAUGAUAAAAUAAAUCGGUGUCUUCUGUUAUUAUUGUUGCAAGAGAGAAAAUUAAGAGUUAGCACGAAGAUAACACUAGUAGAAAACACGGCUUUAGUUCUGGCCAGAUAAAAGCUGAGGUUGCCACACCUCUUCUGACAGCCGGCCAGGGAGGGAAGAUCACUCCUGUUCCCGGCCUGGCUUCCUUGCACGCCAGCGGAUGCUCGCACCGUUGCCAUCCAUAACAACAGCGGCGCGAGCAAGCAGAGGCGCCUCAUCGUCUUCAUCACAGUAUUUGUGGGAAAAAUGGUGUAUUAAGCUUUAGGUGUCUCGCUGCUUUAGCUUCCAGCAUUGGUACUCUUGCAUAUUUAUGUACCUGUCCAGUAUCACCAUUUUCAAACGGAAUUGUACACUCGUAUUCCAUUUUCUAACGGAAUUACACG
rnacentral:lncRNA from 1 species